GAUGAACGCUGGCGGCGUGCCUAAUACAUGCAAGUAGAACGCUGAAGGAGGAGCUUGCUCUUCUGGAUGAGUUGCGAACGGGUGAGUAACGCGUAGGUAACCUGCCUGGUAGCGGGGGAUAACUAUUGGAAACGAUAGCUAAUACCGCAUGACAACAGUUAUUGCAUGAUAACUGUUUAAAAGGGGCAACUGCUCCACUACCAGAUGGACCUGCGUUGUAUUAGCUAGUUGGUGAGGUAACGGCUCACCAAGGCGACGAUACAUAGCCGACCUGAGAGGGUGAUCGGCCACACUGGGACUGAGACACGGCCCAGACUCCUACGGGAAGCAGCAGUAGGGGAUCUUCGGCAAAGGACGGAAGGCUGACCGAGCAACGCCGCGGGAGUGAAGAAGGGUGUCGGAUCGUAAAGCUCUGUUGUAAGAGAAGAACGAGUGUGAGAGUGGAAAGUUCACACUGUGACGGUAUCUUACCAGAAAGGGACGGCUAACUACGUG
rnacentral:rRNA from 1 species